AUUGAACGCUGGCGGCAUGCCUUACACGUGCAAGUCGAACGGUAACAGGUCUUCGGAUGCUGACGAGUGGCGAACGGGUGAGUAAUACAUCGGAACGUGCCCGAUCGUGGGGGAUAACGGAGCGAAAGCUUUGCUAAUACCGCAUACGAUCUACGGAUGAAAGCAGGGGACCGCAAGGCCUUGCGCGGACGGAGCGGCCGAUGGCAGAUUAGGUAGUUGGUGGGAUAAAAGCUUACCAAGCCGACGAUCUGUAGCUGGUCUGAGAGGACGACCAGCCACACUGGGACUGAGACACGGCCCAGACUCCUACGGGAGGCAGCAGUGGGGAAUUUUGGACAAUGGGCGAAAGCCUGAUCCAGCCAUGCCGCGUGCAGGAUGAAGGCCUUCGGGUUGUAAACUGCUUUUGUACGGAACGAAAAGACUCUUUCUAAUAAAGAGGGUCCAUGACGGUACCGUAAGAAUAAGCACCGGCUAACUACGUG
rnacentral:rRNA from 1 species